AUGAACGCCCAAUCUUCACGCCUUGCCAAAACAGCCCAGUGUCGUGACCUGUUGCACUCAGAAAGUAGCCUCAAAGUUAGGCUAAAACAUGAUGUUAUGCCUCCAAAACCUGUAUCCAUCAGUGAUAAAAAUAGAAAAUCUAACAGUUUCCCAAAUCGAAUAACCUGGACCAACUUGUACCACCAGCUGCCAACAUUUUCUGCAUCCACAAUAACCAAAACAAAUUUUUAUAAUCCACAUACAUCCAUGGCCUUGCAUAUGUUUUAA